UACGGAGUGUGCAAGCGUUGUUCGGAAUCACUGGGCGUAAAGCGCGCGUAGGCGGCAAGGUAAGUCAGAUGUGAAAUCCCUCGGCUCAACCGAGGAACUGCAUUUGAAACUGCCUGGCUUGAGUACGGGAGGGGAGAGCGGAAUUCCCAGUGUAGAGGUGAAAUUCGUAGAUAUUGGGAGGAACACCAGCGGCGAAGGCGGCUCUCUGGACCGAUACUGACACUCAGAUGCGAAAGCGUGGGGAGCAAACAGG
rnacentral:rRNA from 1 species